GAUGAACGCUGGCGGCGUGCCUAAUACAUGCAAGUCGAGCGAACAGAUGAAGUGCUUGCACUUCUGACGUUAGCGGCGAACGGGUGAGUAACACGUGGGUAACCUGCCCAUCAGAAGGGGAUAACACUUGGAAACAGGUGCUAAUACCGUAUAACAAUCGAAACCGCAUGGUUUUGAUUUGAAAGGCGCUUUCGGGUGUCGCUGAUGGAUGGACCCGCGGUGCAUUAGCUAGUUGGUGAGGUAACGGCUCACCAAGGCCACGAUGCAUAGCCGACCUGAGAGGGUGAUCGGCCACAUUGGGACUGAGACACGGCCCAAACUCCUACGGGAGGCAGCAGUAGGGAAUCUUCGGCAAUGGACGAAAGUCUGACCGAGCAACGCCGCGUGAGUGAAGAAGGUUUUCGGAUCGUAAAACUCUGUUGUUAGAGAAGAACAAGGAUGAGAGUAACUGUUCAUCCCUUGACGGUAUCUAACCAGAAAGCCACGGCUAACUACGUGCCAGCCGCCGCCGUAA
rnacentral:rRNA from 1 species